rnacentral:rRNA from 1 species
ACAAUGGGGGAAACCCUGAUGCAGCGACGCCGCGUGAGUGAAGAAGUAUCUCGGUACGUAAAGCUCUAUCAGCAGGGAAGAAAAUGACGGUACCUGACUAAGAAGCCCCGGCUAACUACGUGCCAGCAGCCGCGGUAAUACGUAGGGGGCAAGCGUUAUCCGGAUUUACUGGGUGUAAAGGGAGCGUAGACGGCAGCACAAGUCUGGAGUGAAAUCCCGGGGCUUAACCCCGGAACUGCUUUGGAAACUGUGCGGCUGGAGUGCAGGAGGGGUAAGCGGAAUUCCUAGUGUAGCGGUGAAAUGCGUAGAUAUUAGGAGGAACACCAGUGGCGAAGGCGGCUUACUGGACUGUAA